rnacentral:rRNA from 1 species
AUCAACUUUCGAUUGGUAGGAUAGAGGCCUACCAUGGUGGUAACGGGUAACGGGGUGUUAGGGCACGACACCGGAGAGGGAGCCUGAGAAACGGCUACCACAUCCAAGGAUGGCAGCAGGCGCGCAAAUUACCCAAUCCCGACACGGGGAGGUAGUGACAAUAAAUAACAAUACGGGGUUCUUUAGGAUCUCGUAAUUGGAAUGAGUACAAUUUAAAUCUCUUAACGAGGAACAAUUGGAGGGCAAGUCUGGUGCCAGCAGCCGCGGUAAUUCCAGCUCCAAUAGCGUAUAUUAAAGUUGUUGCAGUUAGAAAGCUCGUAGUUGAAUUUCGGGGUUAGUAGAUUGGUCAUGCCUCUGGUAUGUACUGGUCUCACUGAUUCCUCCUUCCUGAUGAACCGUAAUGCCAUUAAUUUGGUGUUGCGGGGAAUUUGGACUGUUACUUUGAAAAAAUUAGAGUGUUUAAAGCAAGCUAACGCUUGAAUACAUUAGCAUGGAAUAAUGAAAUAGGACGUUCGAUCCUAUUUUGUUGGUUUCUAGGAUUGACGUAAUGAUUAAUAGGGAUAGUUGGGGGCAUUAGUAUUCAAUUGUCAGAGGUGAAAUUCUUGGAUUUAUUGAAGACUAACUACUGCGAAAGCAUUUGCCAAGGAUGUUUUCAUUAAUCAAGAACGAAAGUUAGGGGAUCGAAGACGAUCAGAUACCGUCGUAGUCUUAACCAUAAACUAUGCCGACUAGGGAUCGGAUGAUGUUAAUUUUUUAAUGACUCAUUCGGCGCCUUACGGGAAACCAAAGUGUUUGGGUUC